UACCUUGAAGUCAUGUCGCUCAAACUUGUCACUUCAAACAACCAUCUGCAUCUUCCGUCCAAAGUUGUGUCCUCCGGCGACAAACAGUGCCCGUCCACGCUGGAUUAUUGCAUUAGAAGUAUGGUGAAAUCCAAAACUCGUUCUAAUAUUGCAUCUGACCACUACGGGAGGUGUUGCUGGGUGCAUAAGAGUACACCCUAUCUACAUCUGUCUGACCCGUAAUUGCGUGUUGAAUGAAUAAUGCAGACCUCUACGGGCAAACCACAACCACAGCUCGUCUGCAGGUCGUCGCCACCGACAACCCUACUCUGGACAUUAGCUCGGAAUUCAACAGUUGUUCAAAACCCAAACCACAUGAUCGAUCUAUUCCAGGAGGCUGCACUACCGUCCGAACAAGCGAAUCCGAAACCGUAUUAAAAAACCAAAACAUCGAACUCAUCGCGGGUUGGCUCGUGCUGCUGCUUGUUUGCUUCCCCC